UACGUAGGGGGCUAGCGUUAUCCGGAAUUACUGGGCGUAAAGGGUGCGUAGGUGGUUUCUUAAGUCAGAGGUGAAAGGCUACGGCUCAACCGUAGUAAGCCUUUGAAACUGGGAAACUUGAGUGCAGGAGAGAAGAGUGGAAUUCCUAGUGUAGCGGUGAAAUGCGUAGAUAUUAGGAGGAACACCAGUUGCGAAGGCGGCUCUCUGGACUGUAACUGACACUGAGGCACGAAAGCGUGGGGAGCAAACAGGAUUAGAUACCCCCGUAGUCCCUGAGCGGG
rnacentral:rRNA from 1 species